rnacentral:rRNA from 1 species
AAAUUGAAGAGUUUGAUCAUGGCUCAGAUUGAACGCUGGCGGCAGGCCUAACACAUGCAAGUCGAACGGUAACAGGAAGCAGCUUGCUGCUUUGCUGACGAGUGGCGGACGGGUGAGUAAUGUCUGGGAAACUGCCUGAUGGAGGGGGAUAACUACUGGAAACGGUAGCUAAUACCGCAUAACGUCGCAAGACCAAAGAGGGGGACCUUCGGGCCUCUUGCCAUCGGAUGUGCCCAGAUGGGAUUAGCUAGUAGGUGGGGUAAAGGCUCACCUAGGCGACGAUCCCUAGCUGGUCUGAGAGGAUGACCAGCCACACUGGAACUGAGACACGGUCCAGACUCCUACGGGAGGCAGCAGUGGGGAAUAUUGCACAAUGGGCGCAAGCCUGAUGCAGCCAUGCCGCGUGUAUGAAGAAGGCCUUCGGGUUGUAAAGUACUUUCAGCGGGGAGGAAGGGAGUA